GAAUUGAGAUGUUUUUUUUUUCCUUAGAAAAAAAUGGUAUGCUAUCCGCUUCGUAUAUGUUUUUAAAAAUAAAUUUAGUUAAAAAUAUAAAUCCAUUAGAAUUUGAAUUUAAAAUCUCAAGUAUCAAUCAUCAAGUCUUUUAUCACUUGCGUUAAUCAAUUAGAAUUCGAACCAAGAUGUUAUUAUUAACCAAGUAUAAUUAUACCGACCGGAAAGGAUAAUUGGGAAGAUUUUUUCUUUUUUCUUCUUUUCAUUUUGAAU
rnacentral:lncRNA from 1 species